CGUUCUUUCCAGGGGGUCCGGCGGGGCCACGGGGACCCAUGGCGCCCUGUAGAGAAACACAUGCUCAAGCUUCAUUUGUUCCCUAUUGUGAUGAAAGCAGCGUUAAACCUGGAGGAGGUGCAGUUUACUCCCCUAUGAGACAGCCCAUGUGACCAACCAGGAAUGGACUGGGCCGUGUUCAUGUGACAUGUGACAUCAGGAUACAAGAAGUAGGGAAGAGGAUGGAAUGCAAUCCGUCUUUCAGGAAGAAAACGAGGCAGAAAGGAAGAAGAAAGGAAAGAAAGCGCCACCUCAUCAUUCCCCUGGUUCAACCUCCAGUAUGAUCGGAUCCUCCGAGCGUCACAAACCAACACGCACAAAUGCAUUCGUACACACACACACACACACACACACACACACACACACACACACACACACACACACACACACACACACACACACACACACACACACACUUUUAGCUUUUGUUCCAAUGCAUCUCUGAGGGAAAAAAAACAAAAAAUAAUCCAUAUCGAUCUAUUUAAGCAGCAACCUUCCUUUGUACAGCAUAACGACUUCAGUGCAAAUGUAGGGUCGAGUUUAGGCACGUAAAAGAAAAGGGUUUAGGCCAAGUCUUGAACAGAAACACUGAAAACACACAUAUCUCAUACUUUAUAUUCUUGAAGAAAAAAGUUUUUAAAAAGGAUGUUUAUGGACAAGCUGCCUCCAAACAUGCUUGAGUCAUGCAUUACAGUAAAAAAAAAUAAAAAAAACCAUCUUCAAAUAUUGAAGAUUUUUAUGUAUGUUGGUAAUGGUAAUUACAGCGCUAAUGCACUCUUUGAAGCGACUAUAAUCAAUAUUUUAAUGGAUCACAUGACUAGUUGUAUGUGAAAGAGCUUGCUGGUAUACCCACAGCUAAUCAUCACGCUACUCUGUAGCUCCUCUCCACAAUGUCAGCUUAAAAUGUGAUAUGUCAAGGUUGUGUUCACAGCUUGUUUCUGCCACCCCAUGUGGCAGGUUUAAUACUAGUUUUCAAAAAAUUUAAUUCAUUCAACCUUUUUUUUUUUAUCCUCGAUAGAUCAUUGAGGGGCGACCCUCAUCUUCAAUGUCAUGGAGUCAGAUUACAAAGACAAAUUCAGAACAACAACACAGAAAGUACAAUCAUAAGAAAAAUAGAAAGACAAUAAAACAGAAUUGGAAAAUUAUUUCAUCAAUACAUUUGGAUAAUAGGGAUGCAAAAUAAAAUACAAUUAUGUAAAACAGUUACAAGUAGAAGUUUGCAGGUUUAAAACCAGAUUUUGAAAUUGUCCGAACGGCACAAGUGAGUUGAUUUUAAGAAAGUGCUGUAAUUUGUUCAAGGAGUUGGAUGCACUAAAACUAAAAGCUUUUAGUACAGACCGAGCUCGUGGAACAUGCAGUAAAAGCCAGUCAGCAGAGCGAGUGUGAUAAUGCCUCAGAGGAGUGACAGAGAAGUUCUGGAAGGUAGUGUGGCAGUUUUCCAAUAACAGCCUUAUAGUUAAAGAGAUACCAGUGAGUAGCACAUCUUUCUUGGAGAGAAGACCACCCAAUACUUUCAUAUAAAAUACAAUGAUGUGUACUAUAGGCAUGACCGGUUAUCUCAAGGCAGAGUGAUAGACUGAGUCCAGGGUUUUAAGAGUUGAAGUUGAUGCAUGUUUAUAAAUCACAUCACCGUAGUCCAAGACAGACUUGAAAGAUUUUUUUGUUUCUGUAGAAAUAGCCAUUUUUUUUGCCUGAGUCUGCACACAAGAUUAUCAAUGUGGAAUUUGAAGGAGAGCUUUUCGUCAAUCCCGAUAAUGAAAGUGUCUGACCUUUUUCUCAUGCUGUCUGUACUAUACCUGUAAAUACCUCUGUCCAAAACGCUCAGUUUUAGCGCCUGUCUCUUUAAGCUCCCCUCCUCAAAAAGCCCAGUCUGCUCUGAUUGGUCAGCGUUUCCGGGUCUUCCAAAGCUCUUCUCUCCUGUCUGUCCUGUCAGCCGGGGAAUGACUAUAACGGCACUGUAGUGGCACUUUCUGGAACACCGUUCCAGGACUAAAAGUUGUGAUGGAACGGCAUUCCCUUUCAGUUUAAAAAUAGUUUGUUUCAAUGUUGUUGUUUUUAUUUGGGUAAAUCAUUAAUAGCUAUUUUACCAUUAAUACCUCUGCAUUUUGCAGCGUUUCUGAAUUAAAUAUUUUUCUCCCGAGUACACUUGAAAGCAGCACAGAAGGUUGUCAGCGUGCUGCUGUUGUACUCGACACCACCUGACAAGCAGGUAAGAUAAAGAUCCGCUUGCUUUUAAAUUUCUAGAAACUUCAGAGGUGUUGCAACAUUUUCAGUCUAGUUUGGAACGUUCAUUUUGAUCCAACCACCACAUGAUUAGGGUUGGAUACAGAAACCUGGUGCUAAUACGGCACGAGUGCCAAAACGACCGGUAUCUACUGGCCUGAAUAGCAACGCAAAUUUCGGUGCCUCAUUUUGGUGCCACUGAAAUGCCUGCGCUUCUCUCUGAUGCUCCGAAACAGACGUUAGAGGAAAGAGAAUCGCUGCAUGUGAUGCUAUUACACAUUACAGGUAACGUUAGCCUACACUUAGCUAGUAGCUAGAUUAAACACGGUUAAA